UUUGGCAGGAAAGAAACGUCGCGGGUUAAUACCCCGCGGAACUGACGGUACCUGCAGAAUAAGCACCGGCUAUCUACGUCCCAGCAGCCGCGGUAAUACGUAGGGUGCAAGCGUUAAUCGGAAUUACUGGGCGUAAAGCGUGCGCAGGCGGUUUGGAAAGAAAGAUGUGAAAUCCCAGAGCUUAACUUUGGAACUGCAUUUUUAACUACCGGGCUAGAGUGUGUCAGAGGGAGGUGGAAUUCCGCGUGUAGCAGUGAAAUGCGUAGAUAUGCGGAGGAACACCGAUGGCGAAGGCAGCCUCCUGGGAUAACACUGACGCUCAUGCACGAAAGCGUGGGGAGCAAACAGGAUUAGAUACCCUGGUAGUCCACGCCCUAAACGAUGUCAACUAGCUGUUGGGGUCUUCGGACCUUGGUAGCGCAGCAUAACGCAGUGA
rnacentral:rRNA from 1 species